AGUUCCCAUCCAGAGUUUGCUCCGUCAGUGCCUGGCCUCAGCUGGGAAGGACAGGCGGGCCAGCUGUCACAGAUCCCCACGGAGUUCCUGAGGCUGUGGAAAGACCCUCCACUAACCCUGGAUUCCUCUUUUGCCCCCUGGGUCUGUGAGGACACAUGCUGGUAAGUUUAGGUGACUGGAGAUACCAAGGCACAAAAAAAAAAAAAAAAAAAAAAAAAGCUGUGCUGUUUGGAUUUUCCCCCACUCUGUCCAUCCUGCCAGAUGUUCUCCACUGUGAGUGGCAGGCUAGAUUCUUGAGGGGAGGGGAAGGGAGAGGAAUAGAGGGGUGGUAAGGCCUGGAAACAGAGAAUGUAGCUUGGCUGCACUUGGUGGUGGAAGUCAGACUUAAGAACCCUUCAAGACUGUCUGGGGACAUGGGGACAGACUUGCCCUCUCCUUCCUCAGAGGCUGCCCAUAGAUUGUCUUUACGGCCUGGUGGAGGCUUCCAGGUUGCUCAAGCAGUGGAAGAAAAGAGCGAGCUGGGUGUCUACGGGCUUAUCUCAAGGCUGCUCUCUGAGUACAGCCCCAGGCUCCCUGUCCUGUAGGAGCCUGCGGCUGGGCUGCGGUAGACUUCUGGUUAAUCCUCCUCUAGCCUGCUCUCCUUUCUGUCUGACCCAGGUGCUUUGGGUGCUGAGAAGCAGGGCCGUAGUGAAGCCGGUUUGCCUCAAACAUGCUCCCCGGGACCUGGGCCAGAGGCAGCCUCUUUCGUGGGUGGCUCCUAUGUUCUCCUCCUCCGUUCUUAAAAAAAGAAAAAGUUUCCCCCCUUUUUGAACAUGAGUCUCUAACAGAAUCCAGAUCCUGCCACUAAAAAUACUUUAACAAUAGGAAAGUGUGGCAGACUUCCGGCUGAGGCUCCUUAUCGGGGAGGUUUUAACUUUGCGCUGAGGAGGCUGGGUGGGGAAACCUUGGGCAGGGCUAAGGAAAUUUGGUGGGUGUGGGCAUUCUGUCAGGUGGUGGAAGACCCUCUGGGGUGGAGAACUGACCAGUAGAGAUGCACCCAACAAGCUUGUAGGGAGGGAGAAAUGAGGUAGCCUUUCCCCGAGAACUUUGAGCUCUUCUGUGCUUUCCUGCUCUCCCUGCCAGUUCCUCUUGAGGUCUAACCUUAUUCCUAUAUACUGUGUAUUAGUUUCUUCUGCCCGGGAGAUAGAUGGGGUGAGAAAAUCACUGGAUUGAGGUAGCUCCUGUGGCUCUGCUGACUUCCUUUGGUAAUAACACACCCCCCUACACACACACACCCACUCUCCUCACCCCCACCCCUGUAUUAAUGGAGCACUUUCUGUGGAGGGAGCUUCUGGUCAGAGCUGCUUAAGUGCUCUUGCUUUCUCUCACUCAGCCCCUCAGAGGGGAUGGGGUUACUGUUCAGGUCUCAGACAGGGACAGUGUAACCCUGGUCCCUGGUCUGUGCCUGCUUGUCCCUUGCCACUCUCAGGUUUCUGCUACAAGUUCCCGGCAUUCAUAUAUCUCAGCGCUCUGUUCUGGGGUUUAGCCUUUCUCUCCCCUUAGUGAACUGAACUCCCCACCGUGGAACUUAGGGUCUCCCCAGGGGGCCAUGGGACCUGGCCAGGUUUCACUACAUAGAGAUUUGCUGGCCUGGAGCAAGAUACCUGUGGUAGCUCUUCCACAGCUUGCCCGUAUUGAGGGAGGGGUGGGGUGAACAGGGCUCAUGGGCUAACCUGGGAACUCAAACUGGAAACCUGAUUUUCUUUUUUUCGGGGGUGGGAGGGACGUAAAAAUACAUGAUCAGUGCAGGGCCUGGAGAAGGACCAGGAAAUUAGGGCCAGAGACCUGGUCUUGACCCUUCACCUGGGUUCCCAGAGCUGCCAUGGGAAGCCCCUGAGGCAGCAGGUAGCACUUCCCUGCCCACAACACAAAUCCCCAUGCCCACUGCCAGGGCAGGAAGCGGAAGUGGCCUGGUCAGGGCUGGCUGCAGGCUCUGGGGCUAAACAGGGGAAGCUCCCGGAGCUACUUCUCAGUGGAGGAAACAAGGCUCACUCCCUUGACCCACCCCAUGGGAAGAGCAUGGGGGUUGUGGGUGGGGACAGUCUUAGUAAAAGGAGGGAGGUUCCUGCCCUCCGCUUUACAGGAUGGGGCCCAGCCCGCUUGGGCAUCGUGGGAAAGGACUGUGUGAGUCCACUUCCCCUAUUCCCUGCUUACCCAACUCUGCAGAGGAAUGAAGGUGGGCAUUGCUAUCUCAGGCUACUUACUGUUGAAGAGUAAAGGCCACAACAGAAAAAGGCUCUCUGCAGGAAGGGGAGACAGUGAGCUACCCUCAUGUUCCUCACCCAUGGGUCUGAGCGGGAGUCUGGAAUCCCUAUCAUGCUGGGUUCCCUCCCUGCUAACCCCGUGUUCUGAGACCGAGUCUGUGUUUCAGGUGCUCCUGAACUUUCAGCGAUCCUCCUGCCUCAGUGCUAGGACUGCAGAGGUGUGCCACCAUGUUUUUCCAAUGUCAUGUUGCAGCUCCUCCUAACUCCCUGCUUUGAGUAACUGUCGAUAGAACAGAUGUAUAUAUGGAGGGAGAAUCGGCUACUACUCUGAUUUCAGAAACAUACACUUGAAAGAACUUGAACUCAGUCAAGUCCUGCUGCAUCUGCAUUCCCUUAAAUCGGCAACCUUCCUAAUGCUGCAACUCUUUCACACAGUUCCUCAUGUUGUGGUGACCCCCAACCAUACAAUUAAUUUUGUUGGUACUUCAUAACUGUAA
rnacentral:lncRNA from 1 species